rnacentral:tRNA from 1 species
GGGUGUAUAGCUCAGUGGUAGAGUGAGUGCUUGGCAUGCACAAGAUCCUGGAUUCAAUCCCCAGCACUGCCA